CAGGACUUCAACUAUCAAGAGCUAUAUGAAUCACCCUCCACAGAUACUCUUAUUUACUUAAUUUAAUUGAAAAAACAUUCUCACUGAAUUUAGCCUGAAUCUGAAGUUUGAAAACAUCAUUUUGGUACUUAGGGUAUUAGAGGGCUUUGAUGAAGUCUUUGUAGGAAUAUAGCACCUCAUAGCAAGUAAAUUUUAUCUACUUGAAGAUGUUUUACAAUUUCUUAUGGUUUUUUCUAGACUACUUAUAGAGAAUGGCAUUUCAUAUAUUCAUUUACCUAUAUAACUAAAAUAAUGUCAAUAUUCAUGUCCUAAUAACCUUUUCUUAUUUUCCAAUUCUUUUUUCUCAUCUCCUUCUUUGGUCCUGGGGAAAAAAAAAUGACUUAGAGCAGGUCCUUUAAUUUUCCCUUUACUUACUCUUAAAACCAAAAUACACUUUUGACAUUUCCAUUUUCUAGCAUGCCUUUCUGGAUUUUAUGGCUUGAAUUGUGCUCACAUCCGUGACAGCAAAAUGGAGCCAGUUGUGAUGUAGCAGGUGGACAGUGCAUUUGCCCAGCAGGUUUCCAUGGCAGCCAGUGUGAAAAAGGAUGCAGGUCAGGCCAGUUUGGACCUGACGGUGCUCCCAAGUGCCACUGUAUCCACAGAGUUCACCGUACCCCUUGUGAUGGGAGCUGCACUUGCCCCUGGAAGAGAAUGGGCCCAACCUGUGAGGAAAAUGAUUUGGACGAUCCUGAACAACCAAAUACAGCUUUUCAGUGGGUGAAUAGAAUUUUGCCAGGGUUCACCCAUGGUUCAUCAUCUUAACUUUGGCAGAGAAAUGUACUUACUCAACUAUCUUCAGCCCAACUUCGCCUGUUGUGAGGUGAAAAACAGGACGUCUCAACUUUAUGGCUUCCAAGUAUAAGUUCCUUUCUCUCUACCCUUCCCAACUGCCUUUUGCUGAAGAACAUGCCCAAGAAAUAGGGAAUGUUUUUCCAAGAUCCCAAUCAUAGUAACAUUUUGGACUAAUAAAUAAAACUCUCUCUCUCUUUUUUUAUAUGCA
rnacentral:lncRNA from 1 species